UACGGGGGGUGCGAGCGUUGUCCGGAAUCACUGGGCGUAAAGGGCGCGUAGGCGGCGCGGGGAGUCAACGGUGAAAGCUCGGCGCUCAACGCCGAGUCGGCCGUCGAUACUCCCGUGCUUGAGCACUGUAGAGGCAGGUGGAAUUCCGGGUGUAGCGGUGGAAUGCGUAGAGAUCCGGAAGAACACCGGUGGCGAAGGCGGCCUGCUGGGCAGUAGCUGACGCUGAGGCGCGACAGCGUGGGGAGCAAACAGG
rnacentral:rRNA from 1 species